rnacentral:rRNA from 1 species
UACAGAGGUCCCAAGCGUUGUUCGGAUUCACUGGGCGUAAAGGGUGCGCAGGUGGGUUUGCAAGUUCGAUGUGAAAGCCCCGGGCUUAACCCGGGAAUGGCAUUGGAUACUGCAGAUCUGGAGGAUCGGAGGGGGGACUGGAAUUCUUGGUCGUAGCAGUGAAAUGCGUAGAUAUCAAGAGGAACACCAGUGGCGAAGGCGAGUCCCUGGACGAUACCGUGACACUGAGGCACGAAAGCUAGGGAGCAAACAGG